rnacentral:rRNA from 1 species
GACGAACGCUGGCGGCGUGCUUAACACAUGCCAGUCGAACGGAAAGGCCCUGCUUUUGUGGGGUGCUCGAGUGGCGAACGGGUGAGUAACACGUGAGUAACCUGCCCUUGACUUUGGGAUAACUUCAGGAAACUGGGGCUAAUACCGGAUAGGAGCUCCUGCUGCAUGGUGGGGGUUGGAAAGUUUCGGCGGUUGGGGAUGGACUCGCGGCUUAUCAGCUUGUUGGUGGGGUAGUGGCUUACCAAGGCUUUGACGGGUAGCCGGCCUGAGAGGGUGACCGGCCACAUUGGGACUGAGAUACGGCCCAGACUCCUACGGGAGGCAGCAGUGGGGAAUAUUGCACAAUGGGCGGAAGCCUGAUGCAGCAACGCCGCGGGCGGGAUGACGGCUUUCGGGGUGUAAACCGCUUUCGCCUGUGACGAAGCGGGAGUGACGGUAAUGGGUAAAGAAGCACCGGCUAACUACGUG